GCACCCAGAGCUGGCUGACGGAAAGGCGCCAAAUCGAAAAAAAAACCUUCUCUAUCCCGGGAGGUAAUCCAUUGUUUUUGCGAUCCUUCAAUCUCAUCGGUCAUCCAUGUUUCCAUCUCGGCAGUCAUCAACGGCCAUCUCGACAGUCGGCGGGACUUUUCAAUAACUCGCACGAAUGAUGAAGAUGAAGAUUUAGGGUUCCCAAUUUUUUCCUCUAAUGGAUUCUAAGGGUUUUGUGUUCAAACGAUGACUGACAAUUACAACGUAAGGAGGAAGCGCAGAUGGUAGAAGGGAGCACAACACUUAUUCUUUACAUAGGAGGGUGACACCCCUUCAACUUUCGGAAGAGAAGAAAUUGAGGAACCACAAAAAGGUAAAGAAAUUUUACAAUGUCCAUAUAAUAUUUUGAAAUUCAUGCAUAUAGAGGGAUGUCAUAACAUUUUUUAUAAAAUUGAUGACACCGAUUCACAAAAUUAUGACUUCGUAGUACAAACUUAUAACAUCGUGCAUAGUUUCAAGAUAGGAAGUCUUAGAUUGUUCUAGUAGUCAUAGGAUAUCCUAGACUUAUGACACUAUGUUUUCUAUGAUUAUUACAUUUUUUCCCAAAAUUAUGAUACCCUAGUUCAAAAUUAUGACACUGCUUCACAAAAUUAUGAUACCACUUCACACAAUUAUGACACCGCUGCAUAGAUUUAAGCCGUAAUGCCUUAGAUUUAUUCUGGAUGUCAUAUGAGGGGUUAAUGCCUUUGAUUUUUUAUUUAGUGCCGGAGUAUCAUAAUUUUUAUAAAGGAGUGUCAUAUUUCUAUUUCCAUAUAUAUUUAUUAUUUUUUUCUUCAUGACGUAUCAUGAUAUCUAGGAGACAUAAUUCAAGCCACAGAUAAUAGGAAGUAUUGGUAGGAGGGGUUAAUGCCUUCGAUUUUUUGUUUAUUAUCGCAGUGUUAUAAUUUUUAUGAAAGGAUGUCAUAAUUUUUAAGAAGGGGUGUCAUAAUAUAUUUGUGCAUAUAUUCAUCAACUUUGUUCCUCCGAGGCUCAUAAUUCAGAUCACGGAUGACAGAAAGUAUUGAUAGGCGGGGUUAAUGUCUUUGGCUUUUUGUUUAUUGUCGGAGUGUCGUAAUUUUCAUGAAGAGAUGUCAUAAUUUUUAAGAAAAGAUAUCAUAAUUAUAUUUGCGCAUAUAUUCAUCAACGUUAUUCCUUCGAGACUCAUAAUUUAGGCUACGGAUGAUAGAAGGUAUUGGUAGAAGGGGUUAAUGUCUUCAAUUUUUUGUUUAGUGCCGGGGUGUCAUAAUUUUUUUGAAGAGCUGUCAUAAUUUUUAUGAAGAAGUGUCAUAAUUUUUAUAAAUUUUGGGUCAACUAAUUCUACCGACUUCUUAAAUAUGGCUUUCUAUCGUUUGUCCUCACUGAGAUUGGGCCGAUUCAGUUUUCCACUGGGUCGACUUAGCUUACGUGCUAUAGAUUUUAAGACAGUCUUUCUUCUCUAAUUUGAUUUCUAGAUUAGACUUGCCUUCUUAACCUAAUUUAAACCUCAUUAAAAUUUCUUGCAAGGUGUGUUUAGUCUGGAGUUUUUUAUGUAAUGUGAUAUUCUUUUUUUUCAUAUUGCAGGUAUUUUUUCAAUUAUUCCACAGUUUGUAAGUGUGAAGCCCUCACAACUCUUUAUGAAUACUUGCAAGCCGAUAGUUUAUAUUUAGAAUAUUUGGAACAUGGGUUUUUCAAAUGCUCAUGUAGAUAUAAUCCAGAAGACCUCAUUUGGUGCCUUCGUCGACAUGCAGCUAUUCGUAGUCAAAGGGCCACUUCUUGCAGAUAUAAUCAGAUGUCAUAAAUGAGGUGAUGAGUUCACUUUUUGUGGUAAAGUACUUAGAUUCAGUAUGGAGGAAAUGGUACUGAUCGUGGGUCUUCCAUGCCAUGGGAAGAAGAUCUCCAUUACAGGCCCAAAUAAAAAGGGAAGGUUAUUCCAAAGAUUUGGACUGAAAUUGGAUCUUCACCACAAGAGUUUGGAGAGGAAGACAUUAAGGACACUGUCAGACUUUGGAUUGCAUAUAU
rnacentral:lncRNA from 1 species